rnacentral:rRNA from 1 species
UACGGGGGGAGCAAGCGUUGUUCGGAUUUACUGGGCGUAAAGGGCGCGUAGGCGGUCAGCACAAGUCAGUUGUGAAAUCUCCGGGCUUAACUCGGAAAGGUCAACUGAUACUGUGCGACUAGAGUGCAGAAGGGGCAACUGGAAUUCUCGGUGUAGCGGUGAAAUGCGUAGAUAUCGAGAGGAACACCUGCGGCGAAGGCGGCCAGCUAGACCAGUUCUGACACUGAGGCGCGACAGCGUGGGGAGCAAACAGG